rnacentral:lncRNA from 1 species
GAUCUUGAAUACUCAUCAUUAUAUUACUUGUGUACACUUACACAUUGACACCACUAGCAUUUGAAUUUAUACCAAUAAAUUUUUGGUGUCGUUCCCGGUAGGGGUGGGCAAAUUACUUGACCCAAACCGAUCCGACCCGAACCGAUCCGACCCGAACUAACCCAAAACAUUUCGGGUUCGGAUCGGAUCGGAUCGGGUCGCAAAGGAAACCUGAUCGGAUGAAAAUGGUGAAACCCGAUCGGGUAAAACCGAUUUGAUACGAAAACCCAAUCGGGUUUCUUAAGAAAAAAACCUAAACCUAAACCUAAGCACAUAAAUGCCAUACACACAAACACCAAGUCGUUAUGCUAUGCCAUACACACAAACACAUAUUCACAUUUUACAAUACACACACAAGACACAAACACAACUUUCCUCAUUACACAAAAUGCAUACACAAUCACUCACACCCAACGCCAAGUCGCCAACGGAGGCCACACAAGCCACAUCCUCACCCUCAAGAAAUGUUUGAUCUGCUACGCGUCUCCAUGCCCGUCUGCUGCUAAGCGUCUGCCGGUCCGCGAUCUGCUGCCAUGCACCCAAUUUGGUCUUGGAUUUGUUGUUGCUCGUCCGCCCGUCUGCUGCUGCGGGUCUUUGGCCACUGAUCUGCUGUUGCGGGUCUGUGGCCACCGAUCUGCUGCUAACUGCCAAGUGCCACCAAUUUGUUGCCAACCGGAACCCGAUCUGCAUUCUGCUACUUUAAGCCUCCAACCCAACCCGAGUCUCUCCCCUUUAUUGGCAUUAAUUACCGAUCAUGCUACACUCAUUCUUUAAUGUCAAUUUCUGAAAUUUUCAAAUGUAUGAGAAGUCUCAACCUAAAUGGGCUUAACUUGUGGGUAUUUGAUAAUAGAGAAAGACUUGUAU